rnacentral:lncRNA from 1 species
GUGGGAUUUAUCAAUGAUUAUGUACCCAGUUGUGAAUGUGGCCUCAUACAUAGAGGGCUUUUAAAAAUACACAGCAGAAAAAUAUGAUUUAUUCAGAUAGGUUUUGUUUGAGUUUGAUUUGCUUUUCCUGAUGAUGACGAGGGUUUUAAGAUUUUUUUUUUUAAACUUUAAGAAAAUGACUCAAGGGGUAGUUAUAGAUAUUUGGCCUGAUUUUAAUAGGCGUAGGGAAUGAGCUCCAGAGGUCAAUAAACCCCUCCAAAAUGAUGAAUGAUUGAGUACCUGUGAUGAUGAUAGUGAUUACCGGAGCAAUUAAACAGUUUGAUUAAAUGAGCCAUCAUAACAAUGAUGUCUGCGGGAAAUCAGCCCUCACAUAUAAAGAAAGAUAGUGUGGAGGGCUGACAAACGCCAGUGGGCAUUCCUGCGUGUUCCGAUAGCGCCGAGCCCUGCAGAGCAGGGCUCUAUUUACAAUUACGGGGGGAAUACGGAGAAAAGUCCCUCUCCUACUUUUAGCUAGAGUUGCACCCUGCUUAAAACCCGCCAGAAGCCGGAGAGCAGACCCGUGUUUUUUUUCCUAGAGGAUCUCCUCCAAGAUUAAAGCUAGUCCUAAGAGCAACCGAAUUGCUGUGACUGACUUUCACGGGACUGUAAAGAGAGGGAUAUGUGUGUUUAAAGAGAUGCUGAAGAGAUUUCUGAGUUCACGGGGAAGAAGGAAAGGUUGGUUUGGGGAACGGCAGCGCGCCUGGCAGGUUGAUUGUGCAAGAGCUCCUUCAGACAGAACAAUUUGCAUGGUAUCCAUCAACACACAAACUACUUCCUUCACAGGGGAACCGCCAGGAACAUACAGGCUCCAGAGUACUGG